CAGUAGCCGCGGUAAUACAGAGGGUGCGAGCGUUAAUCGGAUUUACUGGGCGUAAAGCGUGCGUAGGCGGCUUUUUAAGUCGGAUGUGAAAUCCCUGAGCUUAACUUAGGAAUUGCAUUCGAUACUGGUAAGCUAGAGUAUGGGAGAGGAUGGUAGAAUUCCAGGUGUAGCGGUGAAAUGCGUAGAGAUCUGGAGGAAUACCGAUGGCGAAGGCAGCCAUCUGGCCUAAUACUGACGCUGAGGUACGAAAGCAUGGGGAGCAAACAGGAUUAGAGACCCCCGUAGUCCCUGUCUCUUAUAC
rnacentral:rRNA from 1 species